CCCAUUUUUAAAAACCUAGGAGCUUCACUUUUCUCCUCUUUUCCUUAUAUAUCUCUCUAAUAUCACAUAUCUUUCUCUCUUAUGUCCCCACCUACCUCAUUUUAUUCUUGGCAUCCAUGCACACCACUCUUGAUUUUUGUAUAUAUGAGUGCAUUUUCAUGGAGCUUUAUUAUAAGUCUUCACCUCUUAUUCCUUUAGUCCAUCUAGAUGGGACUAUGUAGGAUGAAGGAUUAAAAUCUUCUCAUCAUUGGAUCUACUUUUGAAUACUCUAAAAAAUGAAGCUUAGUGAAAUGAUCCUCAAGUACCAGCUGAUCUUUGAAGAUGUUGAUGCUUUGCACAUGAAUGAAGAGAAUGACUAACAUGAAAAUGAAGGAGCCCCAUUGGUUCGGACUUUCCUGUUCCCUUCCAAGCCAGUUUUGAUAGAGAAUCAUGCAGCAGCAACCCCCAAGUACUCAAAACAUGCAUACUCAUUAUUCAAACCAAAAUUCAAUCAUCUUUUGUCUAAACUAGGAGUUGUCAGCAUUCACUCUCUAACGUGAGGAAAAUGUUGAAAAUAUUUUGGGUUAAUAAUGUAUU